AUACGGAGGGAGCAAGCGUUAUUCGGAAUCACUGGGCGUAAAGGACGCGUAGGCGGGUUUGUAAGUCAGGUGUGAAAUCCUACAGCUCAACUGUAGAACUGCACUUGAAACUACAGACCUAGAGUAUGGAAGGGGCAGAUGGAAUUAGUGGUGUAGGGGUAAAAUCCGUAGAUAUCACUAGGAAUACCGAAAGCGAAGGCGAUCUGCUGGGACAUUACUGACGCUGAGGCACGAAAGCGUGGGGAGCAAACAGGAUUAGAAACCCUAGUAGUCC
rnacentral:rRNA from 1 species